GUUUUUUUCGUGCAAAUCGCUCGUGCACGUCUUUUCGCCAAUUCUGCCACUGAUUUGCAGAUACUAUUCUUUUGGUUGCCCUCGUCAUCUCCGGGCUCUUCCACCACUUGAAAAACAAAUUUUUACUUAUAGGAAACUGUGUUUUAAGACGAAAAAGGAACUUACAGAUGAAGUCGGAUGAUCCCUGUAUCUCAGGAUGAACUUUAUGUGAAUUCUGAAGUUUUUGAGAGGAGCCAUUUGCUUGCAUGAGAUUUAGACUUCCACCAGAACCACUUAGCGCAUGAUUUAUAUAUGCUCCACCGAUUCUUCCCAUUUUCUCAUCACUUACAAUGUCGACUCCCUUCAUUCUGAAAAAAGAGAGGUGGGAGCCUUAGAGCAAUUGAGAACUGACAAAUCGGAAAUGGAGAAUUUUUGAAGACAAAACAAAGGAGGAGUGAAAACGUGCAUAACACUUGGAGCAAUAGACAAAUAUGCAUAUAUCUUUUGUAUCUAUGUACCAGAUGUUACAUUUCGGAGAAGGAAAUAUUAACUACUAUCAAACAGGAGAAAACAUUGGAUAAUAUGACGUGGAUUCAUAUAUAGAAUUUCCUUUUUAUUUUUUUUUCUUAACACACAGAAAUCACAUGAUUAGGAAAAGUAGAAAAUCACAUGAUUUUAAAAACAUUUCACAUGCAAAGGAGGUAACUCAGUUCCUUGAACCAGGAAAAUCCAAGUCAACCUUUCUAACUGUCACGUGUUCAAUAUAUUCUAAUACAUUUUCAGAAAAGGAAUAUUAAUUAUUCAUCGGGAAAAAUUCUAAAUUGAGGAAAAAAAAAUCAGGUGCAAUCGAUGAAUUUUUGUGGAAAUGUGAAUAAAAUAUAUUUUUCGUUGAAUUUUGAAAAAUAUUUAUUCAUUUUAUAUUUAGAGAGUCAUGUGAGAGAUUAUUUUGUAUAUACGUGCGAUCACUUGAC